CCUACGGGUGGCAGCAGUGAGGAAUAUUGGUCAAUGGGCGGAAGCCUGAACCAGCCAAGUAGCGUGCAGGAUGACGGCCCUACGGGUUGUAAACUGCUUUUAUACGGGAACAACGACCCUUACGUGUAGGCCUUUGCAUGUACCGUAUGAAUAAGGAUCGGCUAAGUCCGUGACAGCAGCCGCGGUAAUACGGAAGGUCCGGGCGUUAGCCGGAUUUAUUGGGUUUAAAGGGUGCGUAUGCGGCAUGUCAAGCUUGCUGUGAAAUGCCCGGGCUCAACCCGCGCCUGGCAGGGCAAACUGGCGUGCUUGAGUCCGCGGAAAGCAGGCGGAAUGCGUGGUGUAGCGGUGAAAUGCUUAGAUAUGACGAAGAACCCCGAUUGCGAAGGCAGCUUGCUGCAGCGGAACUGACGCUGAUGCUCGAAAGCGGGGGUAUCGAACAGGAUUAGAUACCCGGGUAGUC
rnacentral:rRNA from 1 species